rnacentral:rRNA from 1 species
UACAGAGGUCCCGAGCGUUGUUCGGAUUCCCUGGGCGUAAAGGGUGCGUAGGUGGUGACGUAAGUCGGAUGUGAAAUCUCGGAGCUCAACUCCGAAACGGCAUUGGAAACUGCGUUGCUAGAGGGUUGGAGGGGGGACUGGAAUGCUUGGUGUAGCAGUGAAAUGCGUAGAUAUCAAGCGGAACACCAGUGGCGAAGGCGAGUCCCUGGACAACACCUGACACUGAGGCACGAAAGCUAGGGGAGCAAACAGG